rnacentral:rRNA from 1 species
UGCCAGCCGCCGCGGUAAUACGGAGGGUGCAAGCGUUAUUCGGAAUCACUGGGCUUAAAGAGUACGUAGGCUGUCUUGUAGGUGAGGUGUGAAAUCCCACGGCUCAACCGUGGAACUGCGCUUCAAACCACAAGACUUGAGGGAGACAGGGGUAAGCGGGACUGAUGGUGGAGCGGUGAAAUGCGUUGAUAUCAUCAGGAACACCGGUGGCGAAGGCGGCUUACUGGGUCUCUUCUGACGCUGAGGUACGAAAGCUAGGGUAGCGAACGGGAUUAGAUA